rfam:Hordeum vulgare subsp. vulgare, WGS project CAJW01000000 data, contig: morex_contig_138167
UAUGCACCCCUCUGUCCGAAAAUACUUGUCAUAAGAAUGGAUGUAUCUAGAUGUAUUUUAGUUCUGAAUACAUUCAUUUGUAUCCAUUAAUGCGACAAAUAUUUGCGGACGGAGGGAGUACUUG